rnacentral:siRNA from 1 species
ACGCAACAAAUUGUUCACUGUGUC